GGGGUGGUGGCGCAGUUGGCUAGCGCGUAGGUCUCAUAAUCCUGAGGUCGAGAGUUCGAGCCUCUCUCAACCCA
rnacentral:tRNA from 1 species